rnacentral:rRNA from 1 species
GUCAGCUCGUGCCGUGAGGUGUCGGGUUAAGUCCCAUAACGAGCGCAACCCUUAUCGUUAGUUGCCAUCGGGUAAUGCCGGGGACUCUAGCGAAACUGCCGGUGUAAACCGCGAGGAAGUGGGGACGACGUCAAAUCAGCACGGCCCUUAUGUCCAGGGCUACACACGUGUUACAAUGGCCGGUACAGAGGGCAGCUACCUGGAGACAGGAUGCGAAUCUCGAAAGCCGGUCUCAGUUCGGAUCGGAGUCUGCAACCCGACUCCGUGAAGCUGGAUUCGCUAGUAAUCGCGCAUCAGCCAUGGCGCGGUGAAUACGUUCCCGGGCCUU